AUCUCUCUCUCUCUCUCUCUCUCUCUCUCUCUGUCGCCUGCAUACGAAGAGUAUUAUUAGGCUCGGCAGUUUACUCUGUGGGCAAGAAUUAUCCCUGCAAGUGUAAUUACCAUAUGGGCAUGCCAAUUGAGGAAGAUAUGAAUCAAUCAUAAAAGAGAAGAAGAGAAUACAUCACUUGCAGUUCUUACGUCUCUUCUUCGUUUGAGACUUGGGAAUUGGGACUCGAAAACAAACGACAUGAUGCAAAGGCUCACUAUUGAUUGACCUUCCUUUGCUCUACUUAUACUUUCUCUGGUCUUUACUGCACAUUUGAGCCUCAGCAACCCGACCUCCUCCUCCUUUUCUUCCUCCUCUUACCUUUCUCUCUUCUACUAUACUCUUUCUACACAACAAAGCCUCUCUCUCUCUCUCUCUCUCUUUCUUUC
rnacentral:lncRNA from 1 species